rnacentral:rRNA from 1 species
UUGAUUAUGGCUCAGGAUGAACGCUGGCGGUAUGCUUAACACAUGCAAGUCGAACGGAAUCUUAGGAUUUAGUGGCGGACGGGUGAGUAACGCGUGAGAAUUUGGCUUCAGGUCGGGGAUAACAGUUGGAAACGACUGAUAAUACCGGAUGUGCCGGGAGGUGAAAGAUUUAUCGCCUGAAGAUAAGCUCGCGUCUGAUUAGCUAGUUGGUGGUGUAAGGGACUACCAAGGCGACGAUCAGUAGCUGGUCUGAGAGGAUGAUCAGCCACACUGGGACUGAGACACGGCCCAGACUCCUACGGGAGGCAGCAGUGGGGAAUUUUCCGCAAUGGGCGAAAGCCUGACGGAGCAAUACCGCGUGAGGGAGGAAGGCUCUUGGGUCGUAAACCUCUUUUCUCAAGGAAGAAGAAAGUGACGGUACUUGAGGAAUAAGCAUCGGCUAACUCCGUGCCAGCAGCCGCGGUAAUACGGAGGAUGCAAGCGUUAUCCGGAAUGAUUGGGCGUAAAGGGUCCGUAGGUGGAACUGAAAGUCUGCUGUUAAAGAGUCUGGCUCAACCAGAUAAAAGCGGUGGAAACUACAGAACUAGAGUAUGGUAGGGGUAGAAGGAAUUCCUGGUGUAGCGGUGAAAUGCGUAGAUAUCAGGAAGAACACCGGUGGCGAAAGCGUUCUACUAGACCAAAACUGACACUGAGGGACGAAAGCUAGGGGAGCGAAUGGGAUUAGAUACCCCAGUAGUCCUAGCCGUAAACGAUGGAUACUAGGCGUGGCUUGUAUCGACCCGAGCCGUGCCGGAGCUAACGCGUUAAGUAUCCCGCCUGGGGAGUACGCACGCAAGUGU